GCUCCCUCCGUCGCUGCUCGCUAGCACAACCUUCCUCCACCGCUGCUCGUUCGCACGAGCUCCCUCCGCCGCCGCUCGCUCGCGCGAGCUCCCUCCUCUGCUGCUCGCGUUGCACGCGCUCUCUCUAUCGCCGUUCACAUCGCACGAGCUUCCUCUGCCGCCUCUCAACUUCUGUCUCUCUCCGUCUCUCGCCAUCCAUCCUUGCCAUUCACAACUGAGUCAUCGUGUCACCAGAUCUGAAACUUACAUGCUGUAAUUGGUGAUUAUUUAGGUCAACAUGAAGAGUUUCCCCUUGCUGUCAUGCAUGCUUAUAUUGUCAAAGAAGAGAUUAGAAUACAGAGAUCUAUGAUUCUAUUGUAAUAUAUUUAGCUAGAAGAGAUCUAUGAUUCUAUUUUCAAAGAAGAGAUUAAAAUGAAAGAUGACACAACAUUCGUUGGUAAAAGCAGCAGACAAAAGCCAGAAGGUGAAGAAGGGCACCUUGUCAGUAUUCUUAAUUUGGCACUGCCUAGAAGAAAGUUAUCAGAAGAUGCCAAGUCUGAAAGUGAGGCCAUCAUUAAGAAAACACAAUCUAUACUAAGGAAUAAGGAGGUGAAAAGAGGGGUUUUCUACACUGCCCAAUAGAUUGAGCUUGUAAGGCCCAUGGUAGAAGCUUUUGGGCGACCGUUGCUUGCUACCUUCUCUGUAACAACAGAGGAAGUUGAGCUGGAGAAGCAAUCAUUUUGUGAGCUUAAAGUUGUGAAUAACACAGAGAACUAUGUUGCUUUCAAGGAAAUUAUCAUAUACUAUCUUUCAACUAUAUUUUGGGACAGUUGACUAUGUUCUUUUUUGGGUCACUUCUACCGUCAUUUAACUUGCUGCCACAUUUAAAGUCAAUAUGUAGACUAUUUUAAGCUGAGGAUUGUACACAGUUACCAGUCAAAUUCUUUUCCAUGGCAAGCCAGUUACAAAAGUAAGCAAGGUUUGCAUAUUUAGCCAUGAAGCACGCAUAUACAAAGAUUGGAAUAGGGCUUAUGGUAUGCCAGUAAUUUAGUGGAAUCAAUGAAAUUUGUUUCUAUCUCAGAAGUAUUUUUGAGCUAGCAGUAAUAUAUGCCUUGCCUUCAGAUUGUGAUCACUGGCCUUGAUGCAGCUCUGAUAGAUAAAGCUGGCGGGAAGCCCCUAUUACUGGUUAAUUCAAAGCAGAGAACAACUCACCUUCAAAUUUUGUUGGUUUCCUUAUCAAAACUCUUUUCUUGUUUAACAUUCUAGUGUCUUGUUUUCUUUUUGAUCUUUGGAACCGGAUUAGUAUCAUUAGUGAGACUAUAUGUAGAAUGACUUGUUUUCUUAGAUCUACGCACUUCUACACCCCUACACAUAACUAAUGAUAAAGCUGCUCUGAGUUCUCAGUGUACUAGCUAAGUUCCCUUUUUUACUUUUUUUUUUAUGCUGUUAUUUUUUGUUACUGUUUGAUAUGGGGUAGGUUGGUUGUAAGGGGAUGGUUUUAUUGAAUGGCUUGUGUUUUUCUUCAUGAUAAAUGUUGAUAUGAUAUUAAUGCUAAGAUUUGGUUGGCAUCUUUCUAGAGCAUGUGUAGAAAUAAAGCCUGUUCUUUAUGUUGACGAUGGCACAGAUAUAGCUUGUGGACAAAGUCAUGACCGAUAAUGGAAAAACCUACAUGCUCUACAUUAGUUAAGAUCUUUUUUUAGUUAGAUGAAUUUCAGUUUUCAACUAUAGUUGCUUCGUUUUGUGACACAGCUUGUGCAUUUUCUUUUUUUGUGCAUUUUUCCAUUAAAAUAUGGCCAGAGAUACACACCUUCACGCUGGAGCCAAGCGCUCUAUCUUUCAUAGUGACAUAAAACCUAGUAACAUUCUUUUGGAUAGCAAUAUGGUGCCUAAGCCCUCAGACUUUGGGCUUUCAUUGCAGGGACCACUAUCUACUUCCAAGCUAAAACCAAUUGAAGUAGACUAUGUUGCAGGUACAUUUAGAUACUAAGCACGAGUGUUAUCUAUUACAAGAAAGUUAGAGCGUCAAAUAGUUUCGUUGUUGUUCCACUAUUAUCGUUAUUGUCGCCACCUUCAAUCUCUUCGGAUGAGGACUAUGAUGAUGAUGAUGGGGAUGAAGAUGACACUGAGGAUUAUAGCUGAUAAAUUUAGUAUGGUUGAAUAAUACACUGAUUUUAUAUUUUGAAUUAUAGUUGAUGUAUUAAUACACUUUAUUGAUGUAUGGUUGUUACUUAUUAUAGUUGAUGUAUCAAUAUACUUUAUUUAUAUUUUGAAUUA